rnacentral:rRNA from 1 species
AGAGUUUGAUCAUGGCUCAGAAUGAACGCUGGCGGCAGGCCUAACACAUGCAAGUCGAACGAGGUAGCAAUACCUAGUGGCGGACGGGUGAGUAACACGUGGGAACGUACCCUUUGCUACGGAAUAGCCCUGGGAAACUGGGAGUAAUACCGUAUGAGCCCGAGAGGGGAAAGAUUUAUCGGCAAAGGAUCGGCCCGCGUUGGAUUAGGUAGUUGGUGGGGUAAUGGCCUACCAAGCCGACGAUCCAUAGCUGGUUUGAGAGGAUGAUCAGCCACACUGGGACUGAGACACGGCCCAGACUCCUACGGGAGGCAGCAGUGGGGAAUCUUAGACAAUGGGGGAAACCCUGAUCUAGCCAUGCCGCGUGAUCGAUGAAGGCCUUAGGGUUGUAAAGAUCUUUCAGGUGGGAAGAUAACGACUGUACCACCAGAAGAAGCCCCGGCUAACUCCGUG